GACUUUUUAUUUCAGUUGGCUAGAGCAGCUGAUUUGUAAUCAGCAGGUCGGGGGUUCGAGUCCCUUCACCAGCUC
rnacentral:tRNA from 1 species